rnacentral:rRNA from 1 species
UACGUAGGUGACAAGCGUUGUCCGGAAUUAUUGGGCGUAAAGAGCUCGUAGGCGGUCUGUCGCGUCUGCUGUGAAAACCCGGGGCUCAACUCCGGGCUUGCAGUGGAUACGGGCAGACUAGAGUUCGGUAGGGGAGACUGGAAUUCCUGGUGUAGCGGUGAAAUGCGCAGAUAUCAGGAGGAACACCGGUGGCGAAGGCGGGUCUCUGGGCCGAUACUGACGCUGAGGAGCGAAAGCGUGGGGAGCGAACAGG